UUCCGCACGGGUUAUUAUAAUGUGUGGUAAAUACUGCCCAGUGCACAGGUAAACGGCGGCGUAAAGUUUUAAAGUAGCGAAAUUCCUUGCCUUUUAAUUGUAGGCCUGCAUGAAGUAACAACGAGGGAGAAACUGUCUCUGUUAAUUUUUUCUGAAUUAGGACUUAAGGUAAAAUUGCCUUAAUGAUCACAAAAGACGAUAAGACCCUAUGCAGCUUGCAGGCAAACGCACUAUGAAGUGCCGGGGUCUUUUAGUUGGGGCAACUGAAGAAUAAGUAAAACUUCUUUUUAAAUUUUGAAACUGGCAAGUUUAGACCUAAUUUUUUUAAUCGUAGGAGAAAGCUACGCUAGGGAUAACCAGCGCACUGUUAGGAUAGAGACCAUAUCGUUCCUAAAGACAGCGACCUCGAUGUUGAAUCAAAGUGAAGGCAAGGUGCAGCAGCUUUGUUGUUAAGCCUGUCCGUCUUUUAAAAUUUU
rnacentral:rRNA from 1 species